rnacentral:rRNA from 1 species
ACGAACGCUGGCGGCGUGCCUAAAACAUGCAAGUCGAACGAGGUCCAUCCAGUGGCAACACUGGUGAAGACCUAGUGGCGAACGGGUGAGUAACACGUGAGGAACCUGCCCCGAAGACCGGGAUAACCCUCCGAAAGGAGAGCUAAUACCGGAUACCCCCUGGAGAUCGCAUGGUCACCAGAGGAAAUGCUUUCGUGCUUCGGGAGGGCCUCGCGGCCUAUCAGCUUGUUGGUGGGGUAACGGCCCACCAAGGCGUCGACGGGUAGCUGGUCUGAGAGGACGAUCAGCCACACUGGGACUGAGACACGGCCCAGACUCCUACGGGAGGCAGCAGUUAGGAAUCUUGCGCAAUGGGCGAAAGCCUGACGCAGCAACGCCGCGUGGGGGAUGAAGGCCCUCGGGUUGUAAACCCCUUUCAGUCGGGACGAAAACAGACGGUACCGACAGAAGAAGCACCGGCCAACUACGU